AUGCACAGCGCUUUAAUUCCAAUUAUUCUCCUGCUCUUCUGGAUCGAAGGAAUAUCACCAAAUGAAAGUCACAGUGUUCGUCAGACUCCAGCCGAUCUGCUGUGGGAGACAAAGUCAAAAGUCAAACUGACCUGCAAACACAGCGUCAACAACUACGACACUGUUUUGUGGUAUCGGCGCACAGGAGAAGACUCUACUUUAAAGCUGGUCGCUUUCACAAGUUACACAAGAGUUCAAGUUCUUGAGGAGGGCUUUGAGGGCAGCUUUAACGUCAGUGGAGACGAUUCAAAGCGCACCGUCACCCCACCGACAGUCAGAGUCCUUCCACCUUCACAAAAUGAGUGUCAAAACAACAAAGACAAGAAAAACAAGAAGACAUUGGUGUGUGUGGCCUCUGGUUUCUACCCGGACCAUGUGAGUGUAUUCUGGCAGGUCGACGGGGUGAAUGUCACAGAUGGCGUGGCGACUGACGGCACUGCCCUAUGGGAAGGGGAACAUUACAGCAUCAGCAGUAGGCUGAGGGUCCCGCUCAGUGAUUGGUUCACACCAGGCAGGAGGUUCAGCUGCAGCAUCGGCUUCUUCAACGGGAGCCAGACUGUGUCCACGUCGCACUGGGUCGAAGGUGUUAAAGGACCAGGAGCUGCAGCUAUCAGAGAGAAAUAUUUGAGGGUCGUGCACGCUGCCUUGCUGUCCUACGUUGUUCUGAUCGUCAAGAGCAUCGUCUUUGGAGUCUUUGUGGUGUUUCUGGUGUGGAAGCUUCAGGGCUCAUCUGGAAAACACAAGGACUGAGAGCUGAGCAGCACACACCAGAUUCUUUGACUUUCUAUAAAUGCUUUGCUUCCAGUGCUCAUUCAUCUCGUCAGUCUGCACAAGUUACAGGGUUCCCACAGUUAUGAAAUUCCUGGAUAAGUUAUUAAAUUAGAAAAGUGUUUUCUAGGCCUGGAAAUGGUUUGGAAAAGUUUGGAAUAAACAUUGUUUUGACUGUAGUUUAAGUAUGUACAUAAAAAAUUCCCAAAUCCUGUUCAACAUUAAGUGAUAUAUGCUCCUUUUAUUACCAAUUUAUAAUCUAGUGCUGAUACACAGACCAGACCAGCAGCGCAUCAUCGCCAAGGUCACUCCCGGUUUGUGGGAAAGAAAUAUUAUGGAAAAGUUCUAAAAUUAAUAAAAUGUGUGGGAACCCUGUUAGCAUUGAUUUGAUCUCCAUUGCUAACUGAUAUUUUCCAUCUUGUCUGUUGGUGUCGGUGUUUGUGAAGUGCUUCAUGCUGAAUAUAAAUCUUAAUAAAAGUUUGUCAGAGGA